rnacentral:rRNA from 1 species
ACCUCAACAGCUAGCCCAACUAAGCAAAACAACAACCAAUAUUAAUACCCCCACAAGCAACAAUAGAAACAAAGCAAACCAUUUUACCACCCUAGUACGGGAGACAGAAAAGGACAAAGGCGCUAUAGAGACAGUACCGCAAGGGAACGCUGAAAAAGAAGUGAAAAAACUCAAUGAAGGCUAUAGAAGCAGAGCCUAACCCUCGUACCUUUUGCAUCAUGAUUUAGCAAGCAAGAUCAAGCAAAGAGUCCCUUAAGUUUAAUACCCCGAAACUGGACGAGCUACUCCGAGUCAGCCUAAGUAGGGCGAACCCGUCUCUGUGGCAAAAGAGUGGGAAGAACUCCGAGUAGAGGUGAUAGACCUACCGAGCCCAGUUAUAGCUGGUUGCCUGGGAAUUGAAUAGAAGUUCGACCCCCUAACUCCUUCCCCCCACCCAGAGAACCCUCAACCUCAGGCCCAAAGGAGGUUAGGGGAGCUACUCAAGGGAGGUACAGCUCCCUUGAGAUAAGACACAACUUUUUUAGGAGGAUAAGGACUAAAAGGAGCAAGGCACAUAUCUGUGUGGGCCUAAGAGCAGCCACCUCAACAGAAAGCGUUAAAGCUCAAAUAUAUGUUGCCUAUAAUUCCAGCCAUCUUUUCCUACCCCCCUUUAAGUACCAGGCUCUCCCAUGCCCCCAUGGGAGAAAAACUGCUAAUAUGAGUAACAAGGGAAGUCCGACUCCCUCCGAGCCACCGUGUAAUCAGAACAGACACUAACUGAACAUUAACGCCCCUAUAAAAGAAGGUACUGGGAUUUAAUUAGAACAACUAGCCAUUCUCCCACAUGACAGCGUUAACCCUACACCGGAAAGCCUAAGGAAAGACACUAAGGGGAAGAAGGAACUCGGCAAACAUUAGCCUCGCCUGUUUACCAAAAACAUCGCCUCUUGCAAGCUCUAUAUAAGAGGUCCCGCCUGCCCUGUGACGCAAGUUUAACGGCCGCGGUAUUUUGACCGUGCGAAGGUAGCGUAAUCACUUGUCUUUUAAAUGAAGACCUGUAUGAAUGGCAUAACGAGGGCUAAGCUGUCUCCUUCCCCUUGUCAGUGAAAUUGAUCUGUCCGUGCAGAAGCGGACAUGAACACAUAAGACGAGAAGACCCUAUGGAGCUUAAGGCCUAAAAGCAGAUUACGUUAAUUAACUCCUAUAAAAGAUGACAAACCAAGUAAUUGCUGCCAGACUGCCUUUGGUUGGGGCGACCACGGAGAAACAAAAAACCCCCGAGCGGAAUGGGCAUAAACCCUUAGUCCUGAGCCACAGCUCUCACACCCAGAACUUCUGACCACAAGAUCCGGCAAAGCCGAUCAACGGACCCAGUUACCCUAGGGAUAACAGCGCAAUCCUCUUUUAGAGCCCAUAUCGACAAGAGGGUUUACGACCUCGAUGUUGGAUCAGGACAUCCUAUUGGUGCAGCCGCUAUUAAGGGUUCGUUUGUUCAACGAUUAAAGUCCU